rnacentral:tRNA from 1 species
GGGUGGGUAGCUCAGCUGGAUAGAGCGCUGCCCCCGGGCUUGGUCGCCAUGCCGGCCCGGUGAGGCAGAGGCGCAGGUUCGAGUCCUGCCCCCUCCU